UACGGAGGGUGCAAGCAUUAAUCGGAUUUAUUGGGCGUAAAGGGCGCGUAGGCGGGUAGGCAAGUCAGAUGUGAAAUCCCGGGGCUCAACCUCGGAACUGCAUCAGAAACUAUCUAUCUUGAGGGUAGGCGGAGAAAGCGGAAUUCCACAAGUAGCGGUGAAAUGCGUAGAUAUGUGGAAGAACACCGGUGGCGAAGGCGGCUUUCUAGCUUACUCCUGACGCUGAGGCGCGAAAGCAAGGGGAGCGAACAGG
rnacentral:misc_RNA from 1 species